rnacentral:tRNA from 1 species
GCCCUCGUAGUUUAAUGGAUAAAACAUAAGCUUCCGGAGCUUGCGAUAGAGGUUCGAUUCCUCUCGGGGGCA